rnacentral:tRNA from 1 species
GCCGGAGUGGCUCAGGGGUAGAGCAAUUCACUCGUAAUGAAUAGGUCGUGGGUUCGAUUCCCACCUCCGGCUCCA